rnacentral:rRNA from 1 species
UACAGAGGUCUCAAGCGUUUGUUCGGAUUCAUUGGGCGUAAAGGGUGCGUAGGUGGCGCGGUAAGUCGGGUGUGAAAUUUCGGAGCUUAACUCCGAAACUGCAUUCGAUACUGCGGUGCUUGAGGACUGGAGAGGAGACUGGAAUUCAUGGUGUAGCAGUGAAAUGCGUAGAGAUCAUGAGGAAGACCAGUGGCGAAGGCGAUUCUCUGGACCAAUAACUGACGCUGAGGCAUGAAAGCGUGGGUAGCAAACAGG